GAGGGGGGGAGGGGGGGGGGGGAAGAGAAGGAUAGAACCGCUAGAGAAAGGAAGGGAAAUUAAAGAAGAGGGGAAGGAGGAGGAUGAUAAGGGAAGGAAGGGAAGGGAAUAGAGAAAGGGGAAGGAUGAUAAGGAAAGUUAAGGAAGGGGUAAGGAAGAAGGGAAGGAGGAGGACGGUAAGGGAACGAAGGGAAGGGAAUAGAGAAAGGGAAGAGAGUUUUUCCAUUCUCCCCCUUCUUCCUUGCGUCUCCUCUCACUCCCCACCUUCCCCCUUUUUAUUUUUACAGCAAAGGAGACAGCACAAGGGCACACACAAAAAAGGAAACAAUAAAAAAAAAGCCCGCUACUCGCUGCUCCUGUAAAGUAUCCGAAGAGGUGGCCGAAGGAGCAGUCACACUCUGGUCGAUAUUAUAAGACCCCUUGGCUUCUCACAUCACCUGUUUCUAAAGGCCAAUGAGAGGGUCAAUCGGGUUCCAAUGAGUGUUUCUUUAGGUUCACGGCACAGAGGAAGGGUCAGACUACCACCAGGGCCAUAAAACUACUCCUGGAAAUGUCCCAAACUCCUAUGAAAGCUUGGUCAAAUAUGUGUUCUUGGACAACGAAAUCUUUGGUAAU